rnacentral:rRNA from 1 species
CAGCAUGUUGUUUUCUUCGGAAAACAAUGAUGGCGAGUGGCGGACGGGUGAGUAACGCGUAGGAAUCUACCUUAAAGUGGGGGACAACCUGAGGAAACUUGGGCUAAUACCGCAUAAUAUCUAAGGAUCAAAGCUGGGGACCUUUUAGGCCUGGUGCUUUAAGAUGAGCCUGCGUCAGAUUAGCUUGUUGGUGGGGUAAAGGCCUACCAAGGCAAUGAUCUGUAGCUGGUCUGAGAGGAUGAUCAGCCACACUGGAACUGAGACACGGUCCAGACUCCUACGGGAGGCAGCAGUGGGGAAUAUUGGACAAUGGGCGAAAGCCCGAUCCAGCAAUGCCGCGUGUGCGAUGAAGGCUCUAGGGUCGUAAAGCACUUUUAGUAGGGAAGAAAUCAUUGAGGUUAAUACCCUUGAUGACUGACGUUACCUACAGAAAAAGCACCGGCUAACUCUGUGCCAGCAGCCGCGGUAAUACAGAGGGUGCUAGCGUUAAUCGGAAUUACUGGGCGUAAAGCGCUCGUAGGCGGGCAAUCCAGUCAGGUGUGAAAUCCCUGGGCUUAACCCAGGAACUGCAUCUGAAACUAAUUGCCUUGAGUAUGGUAGAGGAAAGUGGAAUUUCCGGUGUAGCGGUGAAAUGCAUAGAUAUCGGAAGGAACAUCAGUGGCGAAGGCGACUUUCUGGGCCAUAACUGACGCUGAGGGGCGAAAGCGUGGGUAGCAAACAGGAUUAGAUACCCUGGUAGUCCACGCCGUAAACGAUGAGAACUAAGUGUUAGACGCAUUUAUGCGUUUAGUGCUACAGCUAACGCGUUAAGUUCUCCGCCUGGGGAGUACGGCCGCAAGGCUAAAACUCAAAGGAAUUGACGGGGGCCCGCACAAGCGGUGGGGCAUGGGGUUUAAUUCGAUGAUACGCGAAAAACCUUACCUAUCCUUGACAUACUUGGAAUUGCCUAGCAAUAGGUGAGUGCCUUCGGGAGCCAAGAUACAGGUGCUGCAUGGCUGUCGUCAGCUCGUGUCGUGAGAUGUUGGGGUUAAGUCCCGUAACGAGCGCAACCC